rnacentral:sRNA from 1 species
AAUAGUUGCUGUUGCUGCACUUCCGCUUCUCUCCCAGCGAGAGAGAGACACGAGUGGCCAGGCCCAGCCGCAGCCGCAGCAGCAGCCGCCGCGGCGGCACGGAGGAGCCAGACACAAAGAGAGGGGCUGUUUGCGGGGUGGGGUGGGGGGUUCGCUAUGUCGGAUGACGAUUCGAGGGCCAGCACCAGCUCCUCCUCAUCUUCGUCUUCCAACCAGCAAACCGAGAAAGAAACAAACACCCCCAAGAAGAAGGAGAGUAAAGUCAGCAUGAGCAAAAACUCCAAACUCCUCUCCACCAGCGCCAAGAGAAUUCAGAAGGAGCUGGCGGACAUCACUUUAGACCCUCCACCUAAUUGCAGUGCUGGUCCCAAAGGCGAUAACAUCUAUGAAUGGAGAUCAACCAUUCUAGGGCCUCCAGGAUCCGUGUAUGAGGGUGGUGUAUUCUUUCUCGAUAUCACUUUUACACCAGAAUAUCCCUUCAAGCCUCCAAAGGUAAGAAAUCUCCCUGUAUGCUCAAAUUUACUAAUUCCCACAAGAGAACAACUGUUGAGGUUUUUCUAAAUUUAAUUUUUAAUCACAGAA